GAGUUUAGCUCAGUGGUAGAAUGUUUACCUUGCAUGCACAAGGCCCUGGGUUCAAUCCCAGAACCA
rnacentral:tRNA from 1 species